UACGUAGGAGGCGAGCGUUGUCCGGAUUUACUGGGCGUAAAGCGCGCGCAGGCGGCACUUCAAGUAAGGUGUGAAAUCUCCCUGCUCAACGGGGGAGGGUGCACUUUUAGACUGCAGAGCUAGAGGACGGUAGAGGGGGGGGGUGGAAUUGCUGGUGUAGCGGUGAAAAUGCGCAGAUAUCAGGAGGGAACACCGGUGGGCGAAAGGCGGUUUCUCUGG
rnacentral:rRNA from 1 species